AUGAAUGGCGGUAAUAGCAAUUCCAGUGAGCAAGAAAAUGUAACUCAUUCACCAAAUUCUGAAUCACCGGGUGUUGAUAAACAACAACCAUUCACUGUUGAUAUUUUUGAUCCACGAAACUGGGAUAAUCUGGAUGAUAAGGCUAGAGAUAUUUUAGUUGAGAAGGGUCCCGUAAGAAAUGAUGAUAUUGUGUUCCCUCCGGAUAGUAACUCUAGACAUUUUUCAAAAUCUUAUUAUUCGAGAAAGUUGAGCAAUGGAGAGGUACAUGACAGGAAAUGGUUGGUUUACUCUGAACAUGCUAACAAAGUGUACUGCUUUUGUUGCAAGCUUUUCAAAUCCCAUAGCAACAAGAGUGCGUUAGUAGGUAAUGGAUUGAGUGAUUGGAAGCAUCUUAGCGAGAGGCUUAAAGAACAUGAAAAUGGUGUAGAGCAUAUUAAAACCAUGAACACUUGGAAUGAGUUAAAAGUUAGACUAGCCAAAAAUAAAACCAUUGAUAAGGAUUUGCAGCAGCAAAUCAAUAAGGAGAAAGAACGUUUGAGACAAGUGUUAGUGAGAUUAGUAGCCAUUGUUAAAUAUCUUGGUAAACGUAGCUUGGCUUUUCGUGGAUCUAGUGAGAAACUUUACCAACACAAUAAUGGUAAUUUUUUGGCAUGUGUAGAGAUGAUUGCUGAAUUUGAUCCAAUAAUGCAAGAACAUAUUAGACGAAUUCAAAAUGAUGAAAUUUAUCAUCACUAUCUCAGCCACAAAAUUCAGAAUGAGUUGAUUUCUCUAUUGGCCUCUAGUGUUACUAGUUCUAUCUUACAAAUUAUUAAAGAGGCUAAAUAUUUCUCCAUAAUUCUUGAUUGUACUCCGGAUGUUAGCCAUCAAGAACAAAUGACCCUAAUUAUUCGAUGUGUUAACAUGUCAAAUAAGAAAAUAAAAAUAGAAGAAUUUUUUAUGGAAUUUUUGACAGUGGAUGACACUUCUGGUUUGGGUCUUUUUAAUGUACUUCUUGACGCAAUAGAUUCUUAUGGCUUAAAUAUUGAUAAUGUAAGGGGCCAAGGCUACGAUAAUGGUUCCAACAUGAAAGGAAAUAAACAAGGGGUACAAAGUCGUUUACUUGAAAAAAAAUCCAAGAGCUCUAUAUAUGCCAUGUGCGUGUCAUAG
rnacentral:rRNA from 1 species